UGGGGGAUAUUGCACAAUGGGCGAAAGCCUGAUGCAGCGACGCCGCGUGGGGGAUGAAGGCUUUCGGGUUGUAAACCUCUUUCGCUAUCGAACAAGGCCCGCUUAGGGUGGGUUGAGGGUAGGUGGAGAAGAAGCGCCGGCUAACUACGUGCCAGCAGCCGCGGUAAUACGUAGGGCGCGAGCGUUGUCCGGAAUUAUUGGGCGUAAAGGGCUUGUAGGCGGCUUGUUGCGCCUGCUGUGAAAACGCGGGGCUUAACUUCGCGCGUGCAGUGGGUACGGGCAGGCUUGAGUGUGGUAGGGGUGACUGGAAUUCCAGGUGUAGCGGUGGAAUGCGCAGAUAUCUGGAGGAACACCGAUGGCGAAGGCAGGUCACUGGGCCAUUACUGACGCUGAGGGGCGAAAGCAUGGGUAGCGAACAGG
rnacentral:rRNA from 1 species